AGAACGAACGCUGGCGGCAGGCCUAACACAUGCAAGUCGAACGCCCCGCAAGGGGAGUGGCAGACGGGUGAGUAACACGUGGGAACGUGCCCAAAGGUACGGAACAACUCCGGGAAACUGGAGCUAAUACCGUAUGUGCCCGAAAGGGGAAAGAUUCAUCGCCUUUGGAUCGGCCCGCGUCUGAUUAGCUAGUUGGCGGGGUAAUGGCCCACCAAGGCGACGAUCAGUAGCUGGUCUGAGAGGAUGACCAGCCACACUGGGACUGAGACACGGCCCAGACUCCUACGGGAGGCAGCAGUGGGGAAUAUUGGACAAGUGGGCGCAAAGCCUGAUCCGAGCCAGUGCCGCGUGAGUGAUAGAAGGCCGUUAGGGUUGUAAAGCUACUUUCGACCAGGGACGAUAAAGUGAACGGUACCGUGGAUUAAAGAAGCCCCGACUUAAACGUUCGUU
rnacentral:rRNA from 1 species